GGCACAGUGCCAGAGUGGUUAAUGGGAUAGACUCGAAUGUAACCGAUAUCUAUUGGCUUCGGCCGCACAAGUUCGAAUCUUGUCUGUGUCG